rnacentral:rRNA from 1 species
UACGUAGGGUGCAGGCGUUAAUCGGAAUUACUGGGCGUAAAGCGUGCGCAGGCGGUUUGCUAAGACAGGUGUGAAAUCCCCGGGCUUAACCUGGGAACUGCGCUUGUAACUGGCAAGCUAGAGUGUGGCAGAGGGGGGUGGAAUUCCACGUGUAGCAGUGAAAUGCGUAGAGAUGCGGAGGAACACCGAUGGCGAAGGCAGCCCCCUGGGCUGACACUGACGCUCAGGCACGAAAGCGUGGGGAGCAAACAGG